rnacentral:rRNA from 1 species
GACGAACGCUGGCGGCGUGCUUAACACAUGCAAGUCGAACGGAAAGGCCCUGCUUUUGUGGGGUGCUCGAGUGGCGAACGGGUGAGUAACACGUGAGUAACCUGCCCUUGACUUUGGGAUAACUUCAGGAAACUGGGGCUAAUACCGGAUAGGAGCUCCUGCUGCAUGGUGGGGGUAGGAAAGUUUCGGCGGUUGGGGAUGGACUCGCGGCUUAUCAGCUUGUUGGUGGGGUAGUGGCUUACCAAGGCUGUGACGGGUAGCCGGCAUGGGAGGGUGACCGGCCACAUUGGGACUGCGAUACGGCCCAGACUCCUACGGGAGGCAGCAGUGGGGAAUAUUGCACAAUGGGCGGAAGCCUGAUGCAGCAACGCCGCGUGCGGGAUGACGGCCUUCGAGUUGUAAACCGCUUUCGCCUGUGACGAAGCGUGAGUGACGGUAAUGGGUAAAGAAGCACCGGCUAACUACGUG